rnacentral:rRNA from 1 species
GACAGAGGGUGCAAACGUUGUUCGGAAUUACUGGGCGUAAAGCGUGUGUAGGCGGUCCACUAAGUCGGAUGUGAAAUCCCUGGGCUCAACCCAGGAACUGCACUCGAAACUUCUUUUCUUGAGUGCCGGAGAGGAAAGCGGAAUUCCUGGUGUAGAGGUGAAAUUCGUAGAUAUCAGGAGGAACACCAGUGGCGAAGGCGGCUUUCUGGACGGUAACUGACGCUGAGACGCGAAAGCGUGGGGAGCAAACAGG